rnacentral:rRNA from 1 species
UACGUAGGGUGCGAGCGUUAAUCGGAAUUACUGGGCGUAAAGCGUGCGCAGGCGGUUUUGUAAGCCAGAUGUGAAAUCCCCGGGCUUAACCUGGGAAUGGCAUUUGGGACUGCAAGGCUUGAGUGCGGCAGAGGAGACUAGAAUUCCUGGUGUAGCAGUGAAAUGCGUAGAUAUCUGGAGGAACACCGGUGGCGAAGGCGGCAUCCUGGACCGGCAUUGACGCUGAGGCGCGAAAGCUAGGGGAGCAAACGGG